GAAACCGGAGCUAAUACCGGAUAAUAUAUUGAACCGCAUGGUUCAAUAGUGAAAGACGGUUUUGCUGUCACUUAUAGAUGGAUCCGCGCCGCAUUAGCUAGUUGGUAAGGUAACGGCUUACCAAGGCAACGAUGCGUAGCCGACCUGAGAGGGUGAUCGGCCACACUGGAACUGGGACACGGUCCAG
rnacentral:rRNA from 1 species